AAACAUAUUACCGAAACUGUGGAUGAACCUCUUUAGAGGUUCGUGGUAGGAGAGCGUUCUAAGGGCGGUGAAGUCAGACCGGAAGGACUGGUGGAGCGCUUAGAAGUGAGAAUGCCGGUAUGAGUAGCGAAAGAAGGGUGAGAAUCCCUUCCACCGAAUAUCUAAGGUUUCCUGAGGAAGGCUCGUCCGCUCAGGGUUAGUCGGGACCUAAGCCGAGGCCGAUAGGCGUAGGCGAUGGACAACAGGUAGAGAUUCCUGUACCAGUGCUAAUUGUUUAACCGAUGGGGUGACACAGAAGGAUAGGGAAUCGCACGAAUGGAAAUGUGCGUCCAAGCAGUGAGUGUGAGAAGUAGGCAAAUCCGCUUCUCGCGAAGCAUGAGCUGUGAUGGGGAAGGAAAUUAAGUACGGAAGUUCCUGAUUUCACGCUGUCAAGAAAAGCCUCUAGGAAGAGUAGUACUGCCCGUACCGCAAACCGACACAGGUAGAUGAGGAGAGAAUCCUAAGGUGAGCGAGAGAACUCUCGUUAAGGAACUCGGCAAAAUGACCCCGUAACUUCGGGAGAAGGGGUGCUCUAUUAGGGUGCAAGCCCGAGAGAGCCGCAGUGAAUAGGCCCAGGCGACUGUUUAGCAAAAACACAGGUCUCUGCAAAACCGUAAGGUGACGUAUAGGGGCUGACGCCUGCCCGGUGCUGGAAGGUUAAGAGGAGUGCUUAGCUUCGGCGAAGGUACGAAUUGAAGCCCCAGUAAACGGCGGCCGUAACUAUAACGGUCCUAAGGUAGCGAAAUUCCUUGUCGGGUAAGUUCCGACCCGCACGAAAGGCGCAACGAUCUGGGCACUGUCUCAACGAGAGACUCGGUGAAAUUAUAGUACCUGUGAAGAUGCAGGUUACCCGCGACAGGACGGAAAGACCCCGUGGAGCUUUACUGCAACCUGAUAUGGAAUGUUUGUACCGCUUGUACAGGAUAGGUAGGAGCCGAAGAGACGUGUGCGCUAGCAUACGAGGAGGCAAUGGUGGGAUACUACCCUGGCUGUAUGACCAUUCUAACCCGCCACGCUUAGCGCGUGGGGAGACAGUGUCAGGUGGGCAGUUUGACUGGGGCGGUCGCCUCCUAAAGAGUAACGGAGGCGCCCAAAGGUUCCCUCAGAAUGGAUGGAAAUCAUUCGCAGAGUGUAAAGGCACAAGGGAGCUUGACUGCGAGACUGACAAGUCGAGCAGGGACGAAAGUCGGGCUUAGUGAUCCGGUGGUUCCGCAUGGAAGGGCCAUCGCUCAACGGAUAAAAGCUACCCCGGGGAUAACAGGCUUAUCUCCCCCAAGAGUCCACAUCGACGGGGAGGUUUGGCACCUCGAUGUCGGCUCGUCGCAUCCUGGGGCUGUAGUCGGUCCCAAGGGUUGGGCUGUUCGCCCAUUAAAGCGGCACGCGAGCUGGGUUCAGAACGUCGUGAGACAGUUCGGUCCCUAUCCGUCGCGGGCGCAGGAAAUUUGAGAGGAGCUGUCCUUAGUACGAGAGGACCGGGAUGGACACACCGCUGGUGUACCAGUUGUUCCGCCAGGAGCAUCGCUGGGUAGCUAUGUGUGGCAGGGAUAAACGCUGAAAGCAUCUAAGCGUGAAGCCCCCCUCAAGAUGAGAUUUCCCAUUUCUUCGGAAAGUAAGAUCCCUGAAAGAUGAUCAGGUAGAUAGGUUUGGAGUGGAAGUGUAGCGAUACAUGGAGCGGACAAAUACUAAUCGAUCGAGGACUUAACCAA
rnacentral:rRNA from 1 species